rnacentral:rRNA from 1 species
AACGAACGCUGGCGGCAUGCCUAACACAUGCAAGUCGAACGAAACCUCCGUGCCUUGGUGGGGACGUGUGCUUAACGCGUGGUAACUUGCCCUUAGGUUCGCUAUAACUCCCCUUAGGGGGUCCUAAUACCGGUUAAGGUCUUCGCGCCAAAGAGUUCCCGCCUUUGGCUGGGCCCGGGUUGGUUUAGCUAGUUGGUAGGGUAAACGCCUACCAAGGCCACGAUGCCUAGCUGGUCUGAGAGGAUGCGCCGCCACACUGGGACUGAGACACGGACCAGACUGCUAGGGAAGGGAGCAGUAGAGAAUAUUGGACACUGGGCGAAAGCCUGAUACCGCCAUGCCGCGUGAGUGAUGCAGGCCUUAGGGUUGUAAAGUUCUUUUACCCGAGAUGAUAGUGACAGUACCGGGAGAAUAAGCUCCGGCUAACUCCGUG